rnacentral:tRNA from 1 species
GGCGGUGUAGCUUAGCUGGCUAGAGCGUACGGUUCAUACCCGUGAGGUCGUAAGUUCGAAUCUUACCACCGCUACCA